GAUGAACGCUAGCGGGAGGCUUAACACAUGCAAGUCGAGGGGCAGCACGUCUUCGGAUGGUGGCGACCGGCGCACGGGUGCGUAACGCGUAUGCAACUUACCUUAUGCAGGGGGGAUAGCCCGGGGAAACCCGGAUUAAUAUUCCAUAGAUCAGUAGUAUCGCAUGGUACAACUGGUAAAGAUUUAUCGGCAUAAGAUAGGCAUGCGUCUGAUUAGCUAGUUGGUAGGGUAAUGGCCUACCAAGGCGACGAUCAGUAGGGGUUCUGAGAGGAUAAUCCCCCACACUGGUACUGAGACACGGACCAGACUCCUACGGGUGGCUG
rnacentral:rRNA from 1 species